UGGGGAAUAUUGCGCAAUGGGGGAAACCCUGACGCAGCAACGCCGCGUGAAGGAUGAAGGUCUUCGGAUUGUAAACUUUUGUCUUUGGUGACGAUAAUGACGGUAGCCAAGGAGGAAGCCACGGCUAACUACGUGCCAGCAGCCGCGGUAAUACGUAGGUGGCAAGCGUUGUCCGGAUUUACUGGGUGUAAAGGGCGUGUAGACGGGCCCAUAAGUCAGAUGUGAAAUACCGCAGCUUAACUGCGGGGCUGCAUUUGAAACUAUGGGUCUUGAGUGUGGGAGAGGAAAGCGGAAUUCCUAGUGUAGCGGUGAAAUGCGUAGAUAUUAGGAGGAACACCAGUGGCGAAGGCGGCUUUCUGGACCAUAACUGACGUUGAGGCGCGAAAGCGUGGGUAGCAAACAGG
rnacentral:rRNA from 2 species